AUGUUGCCAGCACGUUAUGGUGGGGACUCGUAAGAGACUGCCGGGGUCGAACUCGGAGGAAGGUGGGGACGACGUCAAGUCAUCAUGCCCCUUAUGUCCAGGGCUUCACGACAUGCUACAAUGGCCAGUACAGAGGGCUGCGAGACCGUGAGGUGGAGCGAAUCCCUUAAAGCUGGUCUCAGUUCGGAUCGGGGUCUGCAACUCGACCCCGUGAAGUCGGAGUCGCUAGUAAUCGCAGAUCAGCAACGCUGCGGUGAAUACGUUCCCGGGCCUU
rnacentral:rRNA from 1 species